rnacentral:rRNA from 1 species
UGAGGAAUAUUGGUCAAUGGGCGAGAGCCUGAACCAGCCAAGUAGCGUGCAGGAUGACGGCCCUAUGGGUUGUAAACUGCUUUUAUAUGGGAAUAAAGGGAGGGACGUGUCCCUUAUUGCAUGUACCAUACGAAUAAGGACCGGCUAAUUCCGUGCCAGCAGCCGCGGUAAUACGGAAGGUCCAGGCGUUAUCCGGAUUUAUUGGGUUUAAAGGGAGCGUAGGCUGUUUGUUAAGCGUGUUGUGAAAUGUAAGAGCUCAACUUUUAGAUUGCAGCGCGAACUGGCAGACUUGAGUGCGCACAACGUAGGCGGAAUUCAUGGUGUAGCGGUGAAAUGCUUAGAUAUCAUGACGAACUCCGAUUGCGAAGGCAGCUUACGGGAGCGCAACUGACGCUAAAGCUCGAAGGUGCGGGUAUCGAACAGG